CCAAACUUGGUCAUUUAGAGGAAGUAAAAGUCGUAACAAGGUUUCCGUAGGUGAACCUGCGGAAGGAUCAUUACCCUAUACCAUCGGGGGCCGGCCCUGGAGAUUGCGGCACCCAUCAGGGAAGCCCUCUCUCCUGCCCGCCCUGUCUGAAUAUACCCAUGAUUUUUGCGUACCCAUUGUUUCCUCGGCAGGCUUGCUUGCCAGUAGGACAUUUUUCAACCUUUUGUACUUGCAGUCAGCGUCAGAAAAAACUUAAUAGUUACAACUUUCAACAACGGAUCUCUUGGUUCUGGCAUCGAUGAAGAACGCAGC
rnacentral:misc_RNA from 1 species